CGGGGGGUUGCCGGGAGACUUUGAUAUGCAAACCACAACCGACUCUUUUGUCUGUGUACCGACGUCAGGUCAAACAGUAACCGGUGUGGCCUACUUACCUACACACACACCAUUGACCACCCUCUGAUCAAACCAAACUCUUAAGUUUCGGCUGCUGUUAAUCGGCAGUUUUAACAAAAACAACUCUCAACAACGGAUAUCUUGGCUCUCGCAACGAGGAAGGGGGCAGCGAAAUGCAUCUACGUAGUGUGAAUUGCAGAAUUCCGUGAACCAUCGAAUCUUUGAACGCAUAUUGCGCUCGACUCCUCGGAGAAGAGCAUGUCUGCCUCAGCGUCGGUUUACCACCCUCACCCCUCUCCCUCUUCGGAGGGAGCAUGUCGUGCUUGCUAAAGCCGGCAUCAGGGGUGGAUCUGGCCCUCCCAAUCGGACUCACAUCUGGUUGGGUUGGCUGAAGCACAGAGGCUUAAACUGGGACCCGAUUCGGGCUCAACUGGAUAGGUAGCAACACCCUUGUGGUGCCUACACGAAGUUGUGUCUGAGGACCUGGUUAGGAGCCAAGCAGGAAACGUGCCUCUGGCACGUAUCUCUGUAUUCGACCUGAGCUCAGGCAAGGCUACCCGCUGAACCUAAAGGCUAACGGCCCA
rnacentral:rRNA from 1 species